CCCCUAGACGUUCUGGGCUGCACGCGCGCUACAAUAAUACGCACAGCGAGUAUCACCGAGCUCGAAAGGGCAAGGUAAACAAUAGAAAAGGUACUGUAAUGGUUAUAGAUCCUUGUAAUUAUUGACCUUCAACGAGGAGUUCCUAGUAAGUAUGUGUCAUCAUCACGCACUGAUUACGUCCCUGCCCUUUGCACACACCGCCCGUCGCUCCUACCGAUUGGGUGAGCCGAUGAAACUCUCGGAUGUAGGCUAUUCAUAGCCCGCAGAAGAGAUUUGAAUCGUAGCGCUUAGAGGAAGGAGAAGUCGUAACA
rnacentral:rRNA from 1 species